rnacentral:rRNA from 1 species
AGUGAACGCUGGCGGUAGGCCUAACACAUGCAAGUCGAACGGCAGCACAGUAAGAGCUUGCUCUUACGGGUGGCGAGUGGCGGACGGGUGAGGAAUACAUCGGAAUCUACUUUUUCGUGGGGGAUAACGUAGGGAAACUUACUCUAAUACCGCAUACGACCUACGGGUGAAAGCAGGGGAUCUUCGGACCCUGCGCGAUUGAAUGAGCCGAUGUCGGAUUAGCUAGUUGGCGGGGUAAAGGCCCACCAAGGCGACGAUCCGUAGCUGGUCUGAGAGGAUGAUAAGCGAAACUGGAACUGAGACACGGUCCAGACUCCUACGGGAGGCAGCAGUGGGGAAUAUUGGACAAUGGGCGCAAGCCUGAUCCAGUCAUACCGCGUGGGUGAAAAAGGCCUUCGGGUUGUAAAGCCCUUUUGUUGGGAAAGAAAAGCAGCAGGUUAAUACCCCGCUGUUAUGACGGUACCCAAAGAAUAAGCACCGGCUAACUUCGUG